rnacentral:lncRNA from 1 species
AUAUUUGUAAACUUCCAUAAAAAUCUAUGUCGCUAGAACAUGCACGCCAGACGGCUCCGCACGACUGCUCUGCGUGAAAAACUCCAAAUUGCACUAUUUUUCUCUUUUUUUCCUCCAACUGGUUUAUCUCUCAUCCAAUGCAACUUCAGACAUGUAAUGACUCGAAAAGGACUAGGAAGACUCGAUAAAGACUAGAAAACCAAUUAGAAAACAUAUAUACAAGAUGCCAAAAACACCAUAUAUCAAUUCCCCCAGACUUAGAUCCUUGUUUGUCCUCAAACAAUGUCAAGUAUCAAGAAUAGGGAGAAAGGUUUGAAAGUGUGGGAACUCUCCUAUUCUCAACAACCAUACUUUAACCACGAAUCUCUGAACCAUAUAAGCAGUAAAACUAGGACAACACACCCUUACUGAAACCCCACUGACUGUUGUUCAAGAUCGGCUCCAUACUCUACAUCUCAAACCUGAAAAAGCAACACUAUCGAGACAAAACUCCCUACACUCAUUUAAGAGUAGCGUGAGCUUCUCAUCACAGGCACUAUUCAGGGUAGGCGGGCUAGGUGUUAAACAUGCUAUUUAAUGGUGGAGUUAAAAGUGUUUAGGGGCUACCAUUUCAUUGUAGAGGAUGCAGGAUAUCACACAAAAUGGCAAGAGAGGAUAGAUCCAUUGAUGUCCACAGCGUCUACUUGUUUUUGCUCUAUCUGGAACGACUGCUCCAUUUUGGAUCAGCCAUCUGGAUGAUCAGAUCAUCUGCCUGCUCUCCAAUCUUUCAACUUGGUACCCACUCUUUUGCUUGACCUUCCCAGUUGCUCAUGUUUCUUUGUUUUCUUCCCCUUCUCCAUCACCUCAUUUUUUUUUUUUUUUAAGACUGAUAUGGUGAUGUGACGAAGAAGGAGGUAAUACAUGAUGUUUCUGAGUGCCACUGGUGGUUCUGAUUCUCCACCCCUGCUCUUGCGCAGUUCAUUGGUUAUGAGCGGUUGCUCCCUUAAUCUGCUUGUUCUCCUUUCUAACUGAAUUUCUGCAGCAGUAACAAGUAAAAGACUGUGUCGAUCCUUUCCUCUCCGACUUUUUUGCACAUAUCUGCACAUAUGACACUGAAAAACAAAUGCAUGAAGGUGGAAUAAAGGCUAAGGUGCAGGGUGGGAACUAGCUAAAGAUGAGCUAGCCACUCAGGAUCAGCAAGAUGGAUAAAAAGGAUAAGAAGUCCUGAGUGUGUUCUCGUUUCUCUGAUCUAAUUCCCAUAACAACAAAAAAUUCAGUCAAGAUUAGGUUCAAGUUAAAUGAAGCUACGUCUUUCUAGUGUAACCUCGACAAGUCGAAAUCUUCUGGAGAACCAAAUGAGAUAAUGUCAGGGUGUUCCAGGUCCACAUGUGUGUCUUUCGCCACUGCUAAGGUCACUGAAUAAGAUAACUAAAGCAUGAGGUGGUCAGUGGUCGACACAUAAUAAGGUCCUAAUUCCCACAAAAUUUUGACUGACUCGAUCAUAAAAACUGACUCAAACUAACUCAAACUAAGUUAAAAGUGUUUAGGGGCUACCAUUUCAUUGUAGAGGAUGCAGGAUAUCACACAAAAUGGCAAGAGAGGAUAGAUCCAUUGAUGUCCACAGCGUCUACUUGUUUUUGCUCUAUCUGGAACGACUGCUCCAUUUUGGAUCAGCCAUCUGGAUGAUCAGAUCAUCUGCCUGCUCUCCAAUCUUUCAACUUGGUACCCACUCUUUUGCUUGACCUUCCCAGUUGCUCAUGUUUCUUUGUUUUCUUCCCCUUCUCCAUCACCUCAUUUUUUUUUUUUUUUAAGACUGAUAUGGUGAUGUGACGAAGAAGGAGGUAAUACAUGAUGUUUCUGAGUGCCACUGGUGGUUCUGAUUCUCCACCCCUGCUCUUGCGCAGUUCAUUGGUUAUGAGCGGUUGCUCCCUUAAUCUGCUUGUUCUCCUUUCUAACUGAAUUUCUGCAGCAGUAACAAGUAAAAGACUGUGUCGAUCCUUUCCUCUCCGACUUUUUUGCACAUAUCUGCACAUAUGACACUGAAAAACAAAUGCAUGAAGGUGGAAUAAAGGCUAAGGUGCAGGGUGGGAACUAGCUAAAGAUGAGCUAGCCACUCAGGAUCAGCAAGAUGGAUAAAAAGGAUAAGAAGUCCUGAGUGUGUUCUCGUUUCUCUGAUCUAAUUCCCAUAACAACAAAAAAUUCAGUCAAGAUUAGGUUCAAGUUAAAUGAAGCUACGUCUUUCUAGUGUAACCUCGACAAGUCGAAAUCUUCUGGAGAACCAAAUGAGAUAAUGUCAGGGUGUUCCAGGUCCACAUGUGUGUCUUUCGCCACUGCUAAGGUCACUGAAUAAGAUAACUAAAGCAUGAGGUGGUCAGUGGUCGACACAUAAUAAGGUCCUAAUUCCCACAAAAUUUUGACUGACUCGAUCAUAAAAACUGACUCAAACUAACUCAAACUAACUCAAAAGAAAAACAAAAGAAAGAAACAAGUUAGUAAACGACGAAAACCCUCCCCCAGACUUACUUCACACCGUCUCUGGUGUGAAAAUAAAUCAGAAAGAAGGUGAAAACAAGAAUAAACAUUUUUUUGGUGAGAUACUUACCUGAGUGGAGCGGGUGCUCCACGAAAAUUUUGGGUGUUCUAUCGCAAGAUCUCCGCCUGGAGCAGUCUCUCCUUCAGCAACCCAGAAUUUUUAAGUAUCUCGGAUUUUUCUGCUUUUUGACCUGAGACUCAAUAAACUAAAACGAAAAAUAAGCAAACAAAAACAAAACCAACUUAUAUUUACACUUACCAGUGGGUUGCCUCUCACCAAACGCUUGGUUUAAGUCACUAGCUUGACUUGGUGACAGGGAUCAGUCAGGUUGAGCAUGAGGGCUUGUUCCAAAACAAGCUCCACAAUCAGACAUGUUCAGCUUCAAAACUCUUCUCAAUAACCCUUUCACAACAGCUUCUCCUUUCUCUUUCAGCUCAUGUGUGAGAAUUACUCUGACCUUAGAGAAAGGUUUAGAGGUACCCUUGCAUUUUACCUCAUACUCAAUGGAUUUCUCAUCACACAACCGAGGUAUCAAAGUCAUCAUAGGGUCACCCUUGACCCUUUUCUUCUGGACUUUUUCAUUCAACCUUGCAUUCCCACUGAGUUUCUUGGUAUCAGUGUGAGGAUCUCCAUCUAUGACUUCUCUGAUCUCACCCUUUUUACCAAGCUCCUUCUUAGGAACAAUUUCCAGCUGUUCUCCACUAACCACUGAGAUGCAAGAGGCGUAACGGAUUUGUGAUCUGGUUCGGACAGCCUUGUAGAAAACCUUCUUGUUGAUGUUGGAGAAGUAGACUCUCUUAUUAGGCAUGUCGACGACUGCUCCAACUGUAGCCAUAAAUGACCUUCCAAAGUUCAAAGGCAUCUCAUGAUCCUUGCUCAUCUUAACAACCUGAAAUUCGGUAUGGAGAAUACAGUUCCCAACUUGGACAGGAUGGUUGCGAAUUGUGCCAUAAGGGACUGUCCUGGAAGAGUUUGAAAAAACCAGUUUCACCUAUUCAGCUCAUGUGUGAGAAUUACUCUGACCUUAGAGAAAGGUUUAGAGGUACCCUUGCAUUUUACCUCAUACUCAAUGGAUUUCUCAUCACACAACCGAGGUAUCAAAGUCAUCAUAGGGUCACCCUUGACCCUUUUCUUCUGGACUUUUUCAUUCAACCUUGCAUUCCCACUGAGUUUCUUGGUAUCAGUGUGAGGAUCUCCAUCUAUGACUUCUCUGAUCUCACCCUUUUUACCAAGCUCCUUCUUAGGAACAAUUUCCAGCUGUUCUCCACUAACCACUGAGAUGCAAGAGGCGUAACGGAUUUGUGAUCUGGUUCACACCAUAUAUCAAUUCCCCCAGACUUAGAUCCUUGUUUGUCCUCAAACAAUGUCAAGUAUCAAGAAUAGGGAGAAAGGUUUGAAAGUGUGGGAACUCUCCUAUUCUCAACAACCAUACUUUAACCACGAAUCUCUGAACCAUAUAAGCAGUAAAACUAGGACAACACACCCUUACUGAAACCCCACUGACUGUUGUUCAAGAUCGGCUCCAUACUCUACAUCUCAAACCUGAAAAAGCAACACUAUCGAGACAAAACUCCCUACACUCAUUUAAGAGUAGCGUGAGCUUCUCAUCACAGGCACUAUUCAGGGUAGGCGGGC